CAAAACAGAUGGCACACUGACUAGGAUAUUAUACCUAGUUAUGGAACAAAACACAAAGGGCAGGUAGCAUGGAGUAGUAUCUGAAGAUGAACACACAUCUGAGUGUGUGGCAUCAAGAUCACCGACCUUAUUGGAAUAUAAAGAGAGACAAACAAAUACGUACUAAACAUGGCAGCUUUAAGCAGUGGAUACGAUAUCCAAUUAUUCAGCACAAGGACGAUCCAGUUGGAUGCAUUUGCUUAAGCAACCACGGUGGCAGCGCCAACGUGCACGUUGCACAAUCU
rnacentral:lncRNA from 1 species